AAUAGUAAAUAUUUUUUUUCCAACCAUAAACUGUUCUAACAACAUAUAGAAACAAAGGUAUACGUAUUCUACAUUUUAUUUUUCGGACUCCCAAAGGAAAAUUAAAUUCAACUAUUAUAUACAAGCUAAAAAUAUAUUUUUGCAAUUUUUAACGCAAGCAAGCAACUCAUGAAGAACAAGAAAGCAUGCAGACUCCUGGCCGAUAAGCCCAAGCUGGUGGAAGGCGGGCAUAUUUUUCCAUCCCCAGUUGCUCAUCAUAUGGCCUCUCUAUUAGUUUAAGCAACCUCCUCACUUCUCCAAAAUCACCUAGUUCAGCUGAAUCAAUGGCUGUCUGACAUAAAUAGUUCCGAAGAACAUAUUUAGGAUUUACAGAAUCCAUUUGAACUUUCCUCUGCUCGUCUGAUAUACCACUAGCAGCCAGCUCCUGCACAUAGGACUGCACCCAGUUGAUCCAUGCCUCUUUGCGCUCCUUGCCAAUAUCUAGCAGAACAGCCUUCAGAGGAACUAACAACUCAUCUUCAGGGAUGUUUGGAUCUGCUUUGAUAUUGGAAAGUAACCGGAAGAAAUUUGUGUAAUCAACUUUAUCUACAGCCAUAUUAUUGAGAAGUUUACUGAUCAACUGCUUAUUGUACUUUGGUAGACCAAGUUUUCUAGUCAUUAUAGCUUGAUACUCAUCCAUGAAUUUGGUUCCAUAUCUUUCCAUUGCAUAAUUUGCCUCCUUUUCAUCAAUCAACUGGGCAGCUGAUAGAGAAGUUGUGAAUUGUGCAAUAUUCCACAAGCCAAUGUCAGGCUGAUUUGCAAAACAGUAUCUUCUACCAGGAAGAUCUGUGGUAUUUGGAGUGUAACUUGGAUCAAAAGCAUCCAAAAAUCCAAAGGGACCAUAAUCAAUGGUGAGACCCAAUAUGCUCAUGUUGUCAGUGUUCAGCACACCAUGAGUAAAACCAACCCCUUGCCAGCUUGCAACCAGAGAAGCAGUACGCUCAGCAACCUCCACCAUCCAAGCUGCAUACUUGUUUGAGGUUAGAUCCACAACUGAAUGAUCUUCAUUGCCUGUACUAAACGAUAAGCUCUCACUUUUGCUCAUGUUCUCAAUGUGAGGAAAAUGAUGUCUAAUUGCGUAAUCUGCUAAAGCACGUACAAUGUCCAAGUCUUCUUUUCCUCUAGAAGCAUGUAUUUGGUAGGAACCAAAACGAAGAAAGGAUUGAGCAACUCUGCAAACAAUUGCACCAGGUUCUUCCUUUGGAUUGCCAUCGUAAAACAUGUCUCGGGUAACAUAUUUCCCUGUUGUCACAAGACAAAGAGCACGAGUUGUUGGGAUGCCCAGAUGGUGCAUUGCUUCACUGCAAAGAAAUUCUCGAAUGCUACUACGCAGCACUGCAAGGCCAUCUGCAAACCGGCUGUAUGGAGUCUUCCCAGCACCCUUAAGCUGCAGCUCCCACCUUUCAGACUUCGAAUUUAUAAUCUCCCCUAGUGUUAUAGCCCGCCCAUCACCCAGCUGACCAGCCCACAUACCAAAUUGAUGUCCUCCAUAGCACUGAGCGUAAGGCAACGCUCCAACCAAAGGAGAUGCACCAGAAAAUAAAAGGGGGAAAGCUGGUCUUUCAAACUCUUUAGGAUCCAAAUCAAGCAAUUCAGCAACUGACUCUGACCAGGCAACAAGAUGAGGAUUCUCUACUUCAGCUGAUGGGGAAACUUUUGUGUAACAAGCAUGCAACACCUGACGUGGAAUGGUAUCGGUUCUCGAAUCACCAGGCAAUUCUCUAACGAAUGAAUGGUCCCAAUUCAGAUCUUCGAGCGUCAAUUUAACCUUCCUAGUAUCGCUUUUAUCAUCAAGACCACCAUCGGCGCCUAAACUCUGAUUUUUGAAAUCAUCCACAAGGGAGUCGACUGAAACGUUGGCUUCUGGCGAGGAAGAGUCCAUGGAAACGCUGCUGCUAGAAGGGGUAGUGGUGAUGUGGCAUGCGAGGGAGGAUUGUUGGGGGAGAGGAUAGAAUUGAGAAUAGAGGAAAGAGGAAGGGUGGAAACGGAAUUUGGAAGCGCGGGGAGAGGAAAGAAGAAGAGGACGAAGUGUGUGAGAGAGUGAAGACUUCGGAGAGAAAUGAGAAAGGAGAAGCAUGGUUUGGCUUUUGAGGUUUUUGACUGGUAAUAUAAGAACAAGGGCUCAAUGCCAUGGGUUUUCU
rnacentral:misc_RNA from 1 species